UGGGGAAUAUUGGACAAUGGGCGAAAGCCUGAUCCAGCAAUGCCGCGUGAGUGAUGAAGGCCUUAGGGUUGUAAAGCUCUUUUACCAGGGAUGAUAAUGACAGUACCUGGAGAAUAAGCUCCGGCUAACUCCGUGCCAGCAGCCGCGGUAAUACGGAGGGAGCUAGCGUUGUUCGGAAUUACUGGGCGUAAAGCGCACGUAGGCGGCGAUUCAAGUCAGAGGUGAAAGCCCGGGGCUCAACCCCGGAACUGCCUUUGAAACUAGAUUGCUAGAAUCCUGGAGAGGUGAGUGGAAUUCCGAGUGUAGAGGUGAAAUUCGUAGAUAUUCGGAAGAACACCAGUGGCGAAGGCGACUCACUGGACAGGUAUUGACGCUGAGGUGCGAAAGCGUGGGGAGCAAAACAGGAUUAGAUACCCUGGUAGUCCACGCCGUAAACGAUGAUAACUAGCUGUCCGGGCUCAUAGAGCUUGGGUGGCGCAGCUAACGCAUUAAGUUAUCCGCCUGGGGAGUACGGUCGCAAGAUUAAAACUCAAAUGAAUUGACGGGGUCAUAGCUGUUUCCU
rnacentral:rRNA from 1 species